rnacentral:rRNA from 1 species
UACAUGGGGUGCAAACGUUGCUCGGAAUUAUUGGGCGUAAAGCGCACGUAGGCGGUUCGUUAAGUCGGAUGUGAAAGCCCUCGGCUCAACUGAGGAAGUGCACCCGAAACUGGCGAGCUUGAGUACGAAAAGAGGAUCGCGGAAUUCCCGGUGUAGAGGUGAAAUUCGUAGAUAUUCGCAAGAACACCAGUGGCGAAGGCGGCUCACUGGCCCGGUACUGACGCUGAGGUGCGAAAGCGUGGGGAGCAAACAGG